AGUGAACGCUGGCGGUAGGCCUAACACAUGCAAGUCGAACGGCAGCACAGUAAGAGCUUGCUCUUACGGGUGGCGAGUGGCGGACGGGUGAGGAAUACAUCGGAAUCUACUUUUUCGUGGGGGAUAACGUAGGGAAACUUACGCUAAUACCGCAUACGACCUACGGGUGAAAGCAGGGGAUCUUCGGACCUUGCGCGAGUGAAUGAGCCGAUGUCGGAUUAGCUAGUUGGCGGGGUAAAGGCCCACCAAGGCGACGAUCCGUAGCUGGUCUGAGAGGAUGGGCAGCCGCACUGGAACUGAGACCGGGCCCAGACGCCUACGGGCGGCAGCAGUGGGGAAUAUUGGACAAGGGGCGCAAGCCUUAUCCAGCCAUACCGCGUGGGUGAAGAAGGCCUUCGGGUUGUAAAGCCCUUUUGUUGGGAAAGAAAAGCAGCAGGUUAAUACCCCGCUGUUCUGACGGUUCCCAAAGAAUAAGCACCGGCUAACUUCGUG
rnacentral:rRNA from 1 species